rnacentral:rRNA from 1 species
AACGAACGCUGGCGGCAGGCUUAACACAUGCAAGUCGAACGGGUGUAGCAAUACAUCAGUGGCAGACGGGUGAGUAACACGUGGGAACCUUCCUAGGGGUACGGAACAACUCAGGGAAACUUGAGCUAAUACCGUAUACGUCCGUAAGGAGAAAGAUUCAUCGCCCCUAGACGGGCCCGCGUCGGAUUAGGUAGUUGGUGGGGUAACGGCCUACCGAGCCUACGAUCCGUAGCUGAUCUGAGAGGANGAUCAGCCACACUGGGACUGAGACACGGCCCAGACUCCUACGGGAGGCAGCAGUGGGGAAUCUUGGACAAUGGGCGCAAGCCUGAUCCAGCCAUGCCGCGUGAGUGAAGAAGGCCUUAGGGUUGUAAAGCUCUUUUACCAGGGACGAUAAUGACGGUACCUGGAGAAUAAGCCCCGGCAAACUUCGUGCCAGCAGCCGCAGU